AACAUACACAGACUUGGAGAGACCUACAAAUUAAAAGGUACCCAGAGGAAAUAACUUAGAGACUGCAGAUAUGAUCCAGUGGAUCAGCCAGGCAAGAGGACUGGCUGCCAGUAAGUCCAGAACCCGGGAUGUAAAGUUCCCCUUGGCAAGUUGGCUAGUGAGACUAGCUAGAAUUGGAGACCUUUAGGGUUAAAGAGAGACCCCGCCUCCAAGUGUUUUCUAGCAGAAAGCACAUUAAGCUUUUAUGAAGAAUUCUUCAGGCUUCCUUGAGUCCAGUUUGUUACCGAAGAGGAGCCAUGUUAAGACUUCACGAUCCUCCUUGUAUUUCUGGUCCUUACCCUUCUCCAACACCUUGACUCCAGCAAUUCAUUAUGGAUGGACAUCGUCUUAAUAGGUGACAGCCUUCCUGGCAACAUCCCUUGCAGAGGUCUUCUGAACAUCACUGGGUUCCAGGGUCUGAUUCGCUAUUUUCUCUGCUUGGGAUGCUCUCAUCCCAAUCUUUACAUACAAUGAUUUGGGCAUCUUCAGAGAGAGCUGGCUAGCCAGACUAGCAGAAACUAGAGUUCUGGCUUCAGAAGGAGACCCUGCCUCAAUAUCCAAAGGGAAGAGAGCCAUUGAAGAAUUCACCCAUUAUUGCUCUCUGGUCUCUACAUCCACAAUGCUCCCCAUACAUUAAAAAAUAAAAUAGAAUAAAUUACCUUUUACUGUG
rnacentral:lncRNA from 1 species